rnacentral:rRNA from 1 species
AUUGAACGCUGGCGGCAUGCCUAACACAUGCAAGUCGAACGAGUGGCGGACGGGUGAGUCAUGUCUGGGAAACUGCCUGAUGGAGGGGGCUCACUACUGGCAACGGUAGCUACUACCGCAUACCAUCUGCUGUUCCCAUAUGGGAUUAGCUAGUAGGUGGGGUAACGGCUCACCUAGGCGACGAUCCCUAGCUGGUCUGAGAGGAUGACCAGACACACUGGAACUGAGACACGGGCCAGACUCCGACGGGAGGCAGAAGUGGGGAAUAUUGCACAAUGGGCGCAAGCCGGAUGCAGACAUGCGGCGUGUAUGAAGAAGGCCUUCGGGUUGUAAAGUAAUGUCAGCGGGGAGGCGUUACCCGCAGAAGAAGCACCGGCUAACUCCGUGCCAGCAGCCGCGGUAAUUC